UUUAAUAGAGAUUCAACUAAAUUUUAGGGCACUUUCCAUUUUAGUACUAUGUGGUUUAUAAUGUAUUAAGUUAGUGUCGUAUGGUUUUGUUUUUAUCUUUUCGUCAGUUUCUUCGUUAAUAUUUUGUUAAAUUAUAUAAAAAAAAAAUUUCAAAUACCACAACUAGGUUUAUCGAAUAUUCAAUUUAGUACCAUUUAGUUUUAAUUCUGUCACUGAUUUAAUGAAAAAAAUUAAUAGAAUCGAUAAUAAAAAGAUAAAAAUGAAACCACGGAAUAUUAAAUUGAUACGCUUUAAAUCAUAGGGUACUAAAAUGAGAAAGUGUGAAAUCAGGAUAGUAUUUGAAGUUUUUUCUAAAAUGUACAAAUUCGGAGAAGAGUGUGGGAGGUGGUGGUAUUUG
rnacentral:lncRNA from 1 species